rnacentral:rRNA from 1 species
CACGCAGGCGGUCUUGCCAGUCAGAUGUGAAAGCCCGGGGCUCAACCCCGGAAGUGCAUUUGAAACUACAAGACUUGAGUACGGUAGAGGAGAAGGGAAUUCCUGGUGUAGAGGUGAAAUUCGUAGAUAUCAGGAGGAACACCGGUGGCGAAGGCGCCUCUCUGGACCGAAACUGACGCUGAGGUGCGAAGGCGUGGGUAGCGAACAGGAUUAGAUACCCUGGUAGUC